rnacentral:rRNA from 1 species
UGCCUUUGUGCUUCGGGAUGGUCUCGCGACCUAUCAGCUAGUUGGUGAGGUAAUGGCUCACCAAGGCAACGACGGGUAGCUGGUCUGAGAGGACGAUCAGCCACACUGGGACUGAGACACGGCCCAG